UACAGAGGGGGCAAGCGUUGUUCGGAAUUACUGGGCGUAAAGGGCGCGUAGGCGGCCUUCUAAGUCGAACGUGAAAUCCCCGGGCUCAACCCGGGAACUGCGUCCGAUACUGGAAGGCUUGAAUCCGGGAGAGGGAUGCGGAAUUCCAGGUGUAGCGGUGAAAUGCGUAGAUAUUGGGAAGAACACCGGUGGCGAAGGCGGCUAUCUGGCCCGUAAUUGACGCUGAGGCGCGAAAGCGUGGGGAGCAAACAGG
rnacentral:rRNA from 1 species